rnacentral:rRNA from 1 species
UACGAAGGUGGCAAGCGUUGUUCGGAUUUACUGGGCGUACAGGGAGCGUAGGCGGUUGGGUAAGCCCUCCGUGAAAUCUUCGGGCCUAACCCGGAAAGUGCGGAGGGGACUGCUCGGCUAGAGGAUGGGAGAGGAGCGCGGAAUUCCCGGUGUAGCGGUGAAAUGCGUAGAUAUCGGAAGGAACACCAGUGGCGAAAGCGGCUUCCUGGUCCAGCACCGACGUUCAGGCACGAAAGCGUGGGGAGCAAACAGG